UAUUAUCUGGCUAAACUGAUUGCCUUACCCUAACAACUUAUUCCACAUACAGAACUAUACCUUAAACCCUACAAGCUAAUCCCUAAGCUCUUGAAGAAUCAAAAAGCCCAAAUCAGUAAACCAUAAACACUAAACCAUAUCCCUAAUUCCUAAACCCUAAACCCUAAACACUUAUAGGACUUGUAAACCCUUACCCUAAACUCUAAAGAAACCCUAAACCCUAACCCAUAAAAUCUAAAGCCUAACUCCUAAAUCCUAAACCCUUAACCCUUAUAGGACUCCGAAACCCUAAACGUAAACCUAGAAAAACCCUAAACCCUAACGCAUAUGGGGCUAAUCAUACAGUAUAUGAUGUCGUCCGAUUAUUAGCCGUCUAGAGUUUAACAUAGAUGUACAAUGUCGUUAUUAUAUGGAUAACUAUAGUGUUAGCUGGCUAAAUUAAUUUCUCAACCAUUACACCAAACCCUAAAACCAUAUGCCUAUAUCAUAACCCCCACUCCCUAUACCUUUAAAGUUCAACAUAGCUGUGCAACUAUGAUCCUUCCUAAUAAUCUAGUAUAUAAUA
rnacentral:lncRNA from 1 species